rnacentral:rRNA from 1 species
UGAACGCUGGCGGCGUGCCUUACACAUGCAAGUCGGAUGUGUCGCAAGACACAUGGCAGACGGGUGAGUAACACGUGGGAAACUUACCUCUUAGUGGGGAAUAACGCUCCGAAAGGAGCGGUAAUACCGCAUGAGACCUAUCGCUGGGAUGCGAUAGAUGAAAGCUGGGGAUCGUAAGACCUAGCGCUGAGAGAGAGUCCUGCGUCUGAUUAGUUAGUUGGUGAGGUAACGGCUCACCAAGACUUCGAUCAGUAGCCGGCCUGAGAGGGCGAUCGGCCACACUGGAACUGAGACACGGUCCAGACUCCUACGGGAGGCAGCAGUGGGGAAUCUUGCGCAAUGGGCGAAAGCCUGACGCAGCAACGCCGCGUGGGUGAUGAAGGUCUUCGGAUUGUAAAACCCUGUCGUUAGGGACGAAGGCAUGAAUCCUAAUACGGUUCAUGUUUGACGGUACCUAGAAAGGAAGCCCCGGCUAACUCU